rnacentral:rRNA from 1 species
UACGUAGGGGGCAAGCGUUGUCCGGAAUUAUUGGGCGUAAAGAGCGCGUAGGCGGUCCGAUAAGUCGGCUGUGAAAGUCAAGGGCUCAACCCUUGAAAGCCGGCCGAUACUGUCGGACUAGAGUCCGGAAGAGGCGAGUGGAAUUCCCGGUGUAGCGGUGAAAUGCGCAGAUAUCGGGAGGAACACCAAUGGCGAAGGCAGCUCGCUGGGACGGUACUGACGCUGAGGAGCGAAAGCGUGGGGAGCGAACAGG